rnacentral:lncRNA from 1 species
CAGAAAAGAGCUAAAUCCAAGUGGGGUUUACGCCAUUGGUGCAAAAAGCAGAGAGCAGGUGCGAAGGGGCAUGGGCACUCGAGGACGCACCAGGAUGACUGGUGACCAGGAAGCAGGGCCUCAAUCCAGCUUCCUCAUGCCGGCUCCUGGGGGACGUUGGCUUCCAUUUCCCCAUCUGGGUUCUAAGCUCCUUCUGACUCUGGUGUUCUGGAAUGAUCUACCCGGCAUCCCAGAAGUGAAGGCUGGAAGCCAAUAACCACGAACCAGCCACAGGAUGAGCUGAACCGAGCAGUGCGGCCUUGACUGAACUCUUGCCUCAUUACCCUGAGAAAAUCUCCACCCAGGGGGAGCAAUGCACCUUGCUAGGCACAAAAAGUGCUGGGUGCAAAAGACAAGACUGUGCAGGGUCCAGCCCCUCCUGGAAGAACCCACCUUUCUCCAGGAAUCCCUGGCCCAGUCUCCACCUACCUGCCCUAAAAGCCCUUAAAAUCCCCCUUUGCCCUAUGCCUUAGGGAGAAGGUGGUUUGAACAUGAGCUCCCCUUCCCCAUUCCUUGAUCAACGAAUAAAGUUUGACUCUGCUUUGCCCA